UCCCCCAGCUCCCUCCAUCUAUCUCUUCCCCGCCUCCCUCCCCCUCCCGAGCCAAAUCUCCCCUUCUCCUCCCGAUCCCAACCUCCCCUUCUCUCCCAUCCCAACCUCCGGCCCCUUCUCUCCUCUACACACACCGCGAGAGCCAGCCACUCUCUCUGCCCUCCUCCUCUCCCUCGUCCCUCUCCCAGCUCUCCCUCCUCUCUCUGCCGCUGUGGAGGCCCGCCGCCGCCUUGUGCCCGGCCGACGCAGCCUCCAUCGGCGCCAGAUCCGUCCAGUUCGUCGCCAGAUCCGAGAAGGCACCGCCGGAUUGAAGGAGUUCGCCGCCGAUCCAAUGACGACAACGCUGCCACCGAGGAGAGAUGAAGCGGGGGCCGGCCGCUAGGAGGAGGCGACGGCCGGGACAGCUAGGGUUCUUUUUUUUCUUGUGUUUCAUCCAAUGUUUGUUUCUUGAUGUGAUGUGAUCAAUCCCAUGUUUCUGAUAGCAAUGCAUUUCUUUCUUGAUUUUGGUC